GCUGGGCACGGUGGCGCAUGCCUGUAGUCCCAGCUACUCAGGAGGCUGAGGUGGGAGGAUUGCUUGAGUACAGGAGUUCUGGGCUGCAGUGUGCUAUGCUGAUUGGGUGUCUGCACUAAGUUCGGCAUCAAUAUGGUGACCUCCCGGGAGCAGAGGACCACCACGUUGCCUAAGGAGGGGUGAACUGGCCCAGGUCGGAAACAUGGAGCAGGUCAAAACUCCCAUGCUGAUCAGUAGUGGGAUUGUGCCUGUGAAUAGCUACUGCAUUCCAGUCUGGACAACAUAGCGAGACCUCAUCUCUU
ensembl:misc_RNA Metazoa_SRP Metazoan signal recognition particle RNA